ensembl:snoRNA SNORD39 Small nucleolar RNA SNORD55/SNORD39
UUUAUCGAUGGCAUGAUUUUAAAGCUGUUUCACCCAAAUGCACAGUGGGGAAACCAACCUUGGAGAGCUGAGCAUGCA